AAUGGGGGCAACCCUGAUCCAGCCAUGCCGCGUGAGUGAUGAAGGCCUUCGGGUUGUAAAGCUCUUUUGGUGGGGACGAUGAUGACGGUACCCACAGAAUAAGCUCCGGCUAACUUCGUGCCAGCAGCCGCGGUAAUACGAAGGGAGCUAGCGUUGUUCGGAAUUACUGGGCGUAAAGGGCGCGUAGGCGAUUUGGCAAGUUGGAUGUGAAAGCCCUGGGCUUAACCCGGGAAUUGCAUUCAAGACUGCCUUAAUUGAAUUCGGUAGAGGUGAGUGGAAUUCCCAGUGUAGAGGUGAAAUUCGUAGAGAUUGGGAAGAACACCCGUGGCGAAGGCGGCUCACUGGACCGACAUUGACGCUGAGGCGCGAAAGCGUGGGGAGCAAA
rnacentral:rRNA from 1 species